UGAAGACCCAAAAGAGGAGAUUCAAGUAAAAAGUGAUGGGGUUAUUGUUAAUAGUACUGAGGAGGAUGAGGAAGAAAGAAGUGGGGAAAAUUCUACUUCUACUGGUCCUAGUACUGUUCUUGAUAAUAAGGAACUCAAAAAGGCUGUCCUAAAAACUGCUUCAACCUUUGCACCAAGGGCUUCCACUGCUACGAAAAACCCUGCGAAACCUGGAACUGUUUUAUACACUGUUUUUGAAGUGCAAGCCUAUGCUUCAAUGUUGAUAGGUGGAGCUCUGUCCUUCAAUCUCAUAUUUCCGUCAACUGAACCUGACAUCUGGAGACUAAUGGGAAUGUGGUCCAUAUGGAUGUUUACUAUACCUUCCCUUCGGGCUCGAGACUGCUCGAAGGAUGAGAAAGAAGCUCUCAAUUAUCUUUUUCUCCUAGUUCCCUUGCUUAAUGUUGCAAUUCCGUUCUUCUUAAAGUCAUUUGCUGUCGUUUGGUCAGCGGAUACUGUAGCAUUUCUGGGGAUGUAUGCUUGGA
rnacentral:misc_RNA from 1 species